CUGACACUUUAAGACUGCAGUGUUAUCAUUGUUGUGUCCAGUCUGUUGUCUUCUCAGAGCCACAGAUGAUGAUGAACAUGAUGAAGAUGAUCUCACUGAUUCCACUGCUGAUCACAGUGGGGUUCCUGACUCAGGAGUCAUCUGCACAACGUGUUCUGAAUCAAGCUGAUGAAUCAAAGUCUGUUCGUCUGGGAGAGAGUGUGUCUAUCAAAGCUGUUGCAAGUUCAACUGGUAUUGAUGAUGACAUGAGCUGGUACCUGCAGAAACCUGGACAGGCUCCUAAACUCCUCAUCUAUAAAGUAAAAACCUUUCAGUCUGGAACACCAUCUAGAUUCAGUGGCAGUAGAUCAGGUACUGAGUACACUCUUACAAUCACUGAUGUCCAAGCUGAAGAUGCAGGAGAUUACUAUGGUAUGGGUGUAUAUGGCGCCCCAGAGCGUUUCACACAGUGA